GACGAACGCUGGCGGCGUGCCUAAUACAUGCAAGUAGAACGCUGAAGAGAGGAGCUUGCUCUUCUUGGAUGAGUUGCGAACGGGUGAGUAACGCGUAGGUAACCUGCCUUGUAGCGGGGGAUAACUAUUGGAAACGAUAGCUAACACCGCAUAACAAUGGAUGACACAUGUCAUUUAUUUGAAAGGGGCAAUUGCUCCACUACAAGAUGGACCUGUGUUGUAUUAGCUAGUAGGUGAGGUAAUGGCUCACCUAGGCGACGAUACAUAGCCGACCUGAGAGGGUGAUCGGCCACACUGGGACUGAGACACGGCCCAGACUCCUACGGGAGGCAGCAGUAGGGAAUCUUCGGCAAUGGGGGCAACCCUGACCGAGCAACGCCGCGUGAGUGAAGAAGGUUUUCGGAUCGUAAAGCUCUGUUGUAAGUCAAGAACGGGUGUGAGAGUGGAAAGUUCACACUGUGACGGUAGCUUACCAGAAAGGGACGGCUAACUACGUG
rnacentral:rRNA from 1 species